rnacentral:lncRNA from 1 species
UCACAAUGCCCCAUGAUUAACUGUGCCGAAAGCGUACUUAAAUCCGAGAUGUCCUGCACAAAUAGGAAAGCAUUGUCCUCACCUCAGUGGAGGCUGUCAGACACCCAAACUAUUCUGGCUUCCUUGUCUCAGUAACACUUUUCAAAAACCCAUGAAACUCAAAGGGAUCUGAAUCCACAAGAUCAUAUUUUUCAGAACCAAAUACCAGAACUUGAAGUCCAUCAAAGGUGUGUUGUUGUUUUAUUUUUUAUUUGCAUGAAAAGUUGUGUAUGACUACGUAACCAAGUUGCAUUGGUAUAGAUUCUAAAAAUCACUUAUAUUAAGUAGAAUAAAAUCACAUGAGGUAGAUGCUGCCCUAGAAAACCCAGAGUAUGCAGCCUUCAGGAAAUCAAAAUAGUAAAAGUAUUGCAGAUUUGCCUCUGUGAAGUUUGGUAGAGACCAUUUCUACUCCCCACAACAGUAGAACAUUCAAAACAGGAUCAUAUACAUUGAAAAAAAAGAAACCUUCAUUUAGACAUUUCCCUGACUCCCCCAUUAAAACACAGACCCUAUGGAGACAAAUAAAAUGUCGAUUUCUCUGAUAACUUCCUCACAAGAUUUAUAGUGCUUUAUAUAUGCUAUAGAGAAUACUAAUAUGUGUUUAUUUGAUGCAUUGUUUGAGACUGUGGUAGAAUCUUUACCAGAGAAAGAACAAAUUGUUACAAGUUUGAGUUUAUAUUUGGGUUACAAAUCUAGAAAAUUUACUCUGUGGAAAGGGAAAUACAUUCACCCAUGAUUCUGUGAGCUGUCCUUGUCAGCAUGUCAAUAUAAUCAGCUCCCCUGGCUCAUCUAGAAAAGUCAGUAAGUCUGGGAUCACAAAGAACAAGAAUCCCAAGAGGGACUCAGGUACCCCACUGGAAAGCAGAGAGUACAUAAAGAAAUAAUCAAUUAGACAGUGAAGCUGUGAAGCAGAAAGGACACUCUAUACUCCCAGUCCGUGGCGUCCUGUGAGACCAGUAAAAACACAAGAGCCUGGCCGGGCGCGGUGGCUCACGCCUGUAAUCCCAGCACUUUGGGAGGCCGAGGCGGGCGGAUCACGAGGUCAGGAGAUAGAGACCAUUCUGGCUAACACUGUGAAACUCCGUCUCUACUGAAAAUACAUAAAAUUAGUCGGGCGUGGUGGCGGGCGCCUGUAGCCCCAGCUACUAGGGAGGCUGAGGCAGGAGAAUGGCGUGAACCCGGGAGGUGGGGCNNNNNNNNNNNNNNNNNNNNNNNNNNNNNNNNNNNNNNNNNNNNNNNNNNNNNNNNNNNNNNNNNNNNNNNNNNNNNNNNNNNNNAAAAAAAAAAAAAAACACACACACACAAGAGCGACAGUAAUCAUUAUUAUGUCCAUUUUACAGAUGAGGACACCGAAGUUUCUCAAGAAUAAAUAAAUUACUCAAGUUCACAAAACUAUGGUAGCACCAGAGGCCCAACCCAGGAAGUCUGUCCACAGACCUGAGGCUCUUAAUCAUGACUUUCUACAUCUACAUGAGCAGUAUACAUGUGUACAUGUGUGUGUGUCUGUGUGUGUGUGUUACGAUGAUAUUCAAUCCACACAUUGUCAUAGAAACUGAAUUGUCCUAAGGCAUAUACUUUUAGCAGCAGUACCUAACAAUCACAAAAAGAAUGGUAAGCAUGAUAAAAAAGAAAAAAUAACAAGGUCAAAGAAUUGCCAAACCUACAGUGCAGAUUAAAGAAAUUCCCCUACAGAUUCAGUGGGUCUCCAGAGGAUUUGGUCUAUCCAAUAAACAAAAUGCUUUCCCCCAGAGGAGUCAUUCACAUUAAUAACCAUGAGCAUGGAGUAGAAUUUUACUUGGCUGGACUUUGUCUAUUGAAUACUUCACUUAGUGCUGUGGAUCAGACCAAGGAACAAAAAUGAAUUUCAGCUUUGUUGAAAUCAGAUCCCCAAUUUCCUUGGUUGUCAAUGUGAUUAAUAGGAGACCCAAAUCACCUUAAUAGAGAAGCAACACUCUCUACCUUCAUCCUGAUGCUGAGUAAGAAGGGGGCAUCACUGAAGUAGGUAAGGAUGGAGCAGAUGUCUGGGUACCGGCAGUGUCUUUCCCUUUUGUGUACCACUGUGCCCUGCUUCAAAGCCAUAAACAAACUGAGCAGAAAGGCUCAAGAUAAACGACCUGAUACCAUUUAAUGCCUUCAGGGAGAUGGAUGCCUAAAUCCAUGAGAUCCAUAAUUUUUGGCUACAUCUUUUGCAUUUCCAGGGAGAAAGCUUCCAUGUUGUCCUUGGGUGCCCCCAUCUAAGUGUUUUACAACACCAAUAGUAAAACAAUUCUACUUUCUGCCCAAACGUAACAUUUAGUUUAGAUUAAAUCCAUUUCCUUUGAAUGUUUCAUGAGCUUAGAAAACUGUUUUGUGCCCUCAUAGUAAUACCUAUUACUGCAGGCAAAGCAAUAUUGUUUCUUUGCACUUUUCGUUAUGUAUCAUUUUUGUUAUAUUUCUUGGGGAUUUCUCUAAGCUCCUUGUGUUUAAUUUUUGGGUUUUUUUUCCUUUGCUCCAUAUUAAAAUAUUUUUUAAAUCAUAUUGAAAUAAUACAUGUUUAUGGUGGAAAAUUUAGAAAUAUGAAAAAUCCCAAAGGAGAAAUUUUUCAAAACCCAUAAUCCUGCUUCUCAGAGCUAAUAACUAUUUUGAUGUAUAUCUUCCAGUCUCAUAAGCCAAUGCACAUAUGUGCUUUGGAGACUAUUUUCCCUGUCACUAAUUAUUACCCCUACAGGGUAGGCAUCUUCAACCUGAGUCUGUAUAUAGACUUUACAUAGUCCAUGAAAUUAUACACAAAAUUAUAGACAAAAUUUUAUGUAGGUACAUAUGUGCUUUCUUCCCAAGAAGGCAGUUGACUGUUUUCACCAGAUGCCCAAAAGGGUGUAUGAACUGAAAACAGUUAAAAAUUCUUAUUUAGCAUCAUGAUUUUUAUAGCCAUAUAACAUUCUACCUUUUCUUUUCUUUUUUUUUUUUUUUUUUGAGGCUGGAGUGCAGUGGUGCGAUCUCAGCUCACUGCAACCUCCGCCUCCCAGGUUCAAGCGAUUCUCCUCCCUCAGCCUCCCGAGUAGCUAGGACUACAGGCACGGGCCACCAUGCCCAGCUAAUUUUUGUAUUUUUAGUAGAGACAGGGCUUCACAGUGUUGGCCGCGAUGGUCUCGAUAUCCUGACCUCAUGAUCCAUCCACCUUGGCCUCCCAAAGGGCUGGUAUUACAAGCCUGAGCCACCGUGCUUAGCCAACGUUUUACCAUAUUAACCGAUCUUGCUAUAUAAAUUAUAUUGCAAUAAACACUUUGUAGCUAAAUUUUGCAUCUGUCUCCAGUGAUUUCUUCUGAGAAAAAAAAAUACUGAAAUUGGAAUUGCUCCAAGAAUAUUCACAGCUAAAGGUUUUUAAUACAUGUUGUCAAAUUGCCUUGUAGAAAGGUGGUAUCAUUAGGAGUUCCAUCAGAAGUAUAUGAAAAUAUACUUGCUUCAAACUAGCACUAACACAGAGGGUUAUUUUUUAACUUUGCCAAUUUUAUUGGCUAAACUAAAAUACUAAUAUUUGAGACUUUUUCUUUUUAAGUUCAGGGAGCAAUAUUAUUUGUAGCACAGUCAUGGCUGAUGUACUCAGAGCAUAGAGGAAGAAUUACAUCUGCCCUGGAUGGUCUUAGCUUUAUUCCCCCACAAUGACAUGAUAUUGCUGAUUCAUGAUCAGCAGUGAUCAUGGUCAUUGAUCAUAGAUCAGCCCUGACCCACAGGUCUUUUAAAGCAGUGAUGGUGGCUAGUCAAUUCUGUAAUUAUUUUUAUGGUUUAUAUAAGUCCUUACUCUCACCCUUAUAUAAUUGGAUUUCAUCCUGUUUGCCUAGGGUUGUGCUUGCUAUUUAAUAAUAUCACACUGGUCUGUUUGAUGUUACAUCACCUAUAGGCUAAAUAAGCACACCUUCAACACCUUUAGUCAAGACGUCAAUGAUUCCAAGGGCGAUAAGACCACUUGACAUUUGCCCCUCACAUUGAUACCAGGUCAUUGGAAACCACGCUUCUGGGAGAAUCAUCAGGGAAAUGUUCUACUUGCCUAAUCACAGAAACUCUACAACUAGACUCUGGCUAAACAGAACAUAAAUUAUACUGAAAUCAAUAAAGACAGGGUGAGCAAAAAGCCUUUGUCAUGAUUAAGAGUGUAUGCGCUUGCAGUUACAUAUCUGGGUUAAAUGCCAACUCCUCCAUUUGCUGUCUAUAUAACCCUAGGCAACUACUUCCACAUGUCUAAGCUUUUCACACAUAAAACAGAUUUAUAGGCCAGACACAGUGGCUCACACUUGUAAUCCCAACACUUUGGGAGGCUGAGGCAGAAGGAUUGCUUGAGCCCAGGAGUUUGAGGCCACCCUGGGCAACAUAGUGAGAUCCCAUCUCAAUAAAAAAUAAAAAAUUAGCCAGGAGUAGUGGUGCAUGCCUAUAGUCAUACUCAGGAUGUUGAGUUGGGAGGAUCACUUGAGCCUUGGAGGUGGAGGCUACAGUGAGCCAUAAUUGCGCCACUACACUCCAGCCUAAACAACAGAGUGAGAACCUGUCUCAAAAAAAACAAAAACAAAAACAAAACAGAUUUAUAAAGAAAUUUUCCUGGCAUGGUUGCAUGCUCCUGUGGUCCCAGCUACUCAAGAGGCUGAGGUGGGAGGAUUGCUUGAGCCCAGGAGUUCAAGGUUGUAGCGAGUUAUGAUCAUGCUACUGUAACCCAUCUCUAAAAAAUAAUAUUUUAAAAAUAAUAAAAAGAAACUUCUUUGGUGAAUAUGUCAAGAGCAUGCCUUCAUGUUGGUUGCUGUGAAGUUGCAAUAUUCUUUCUACACAAUAUUUUGCAGACUCCCCUAUAUAAAUUAGUAACCACCACCUCCAUACCACACACUCUCUGUCUCCCUUAUCGUGCCUUAUUUUUUUCUCCAUUGCAUGUCUAAUCAUCUGACAUAUGACAUAUUUACUUGUUUGUUUUUUAUCUGGCUUCUCUCACUAGAACAUAAGCCCCGCGAGAGCAAACGUUUUCCAUUUGCUUCCUGCCUU